UUGAUGAUAGAGAAUAUACCUUGCUUGGAAAUGAACUUUGUACUCUUGAGUUCAUUCUAUUGAACCCUUAUGACACUACUAAGACUUGUGAAAGCCUUGGUCAAAUAGACAAGGACUUUCAUAAUAGGUCUAACCCCAGAGCAAUGAGAACAGGAAUUGUCAACUGCAAAAUGUUUGAUUCUGAUGAACUGGGAGAUCGACAACCCAUCACUCUAAGUUUUGUUGGUGCUUCAGAAUCAGCAACACCUCCAACAAGACUUGAACAACCCAAGCAACAACCUCUGCCAUCGUCGAUCAACAACUAAGUAGCCAAAGAACUUUCCCCAAGCUGCACACCUAAAAAACAAGGCAACAUUAGCCAAAGAGUAGAGACACCCACCAAAAUAUAUAAAACUUGGUACAAAUAAUAUAUUCGUCCAUGUGUAAAUCUGUCACGACCCGGUACUCCCCUCGAGCCCGUGACAAUCACAGCGACGUCUCGAUAGACAUUCAUUGCCUAGAAUGCCAACCGAAACCUCACAAGGCUUUAAUAUAAAUUUUCGCACCUCCCUUGUGAGCAACAGUUGUUAAGUAUCAUGUUUUGAGAGAUUAUAAACUAUUUCCAAAUCAAAACAAUAGAAAAAUAAUUUUUUUUCUCACAGGGGCAUUUUGGUCAUUUUUCUUCAAAAAUCUCAAAAUCAGCUAAAAAUGUAGUAUGGGAGUGGAAAACACAUAUUUCAUACUCAAAAAUAAGUUUAGAUGUCUAAAACAUUCAUUUAAAGUAAAACUAUACCUAUUUGAAUAUAAUAAAAAUAUUUAAUAAAAUAUUCUAUUUUCUUAUAAAACAAUAUUUAUAGAGUUAUCGGUAAAUAAUUUUUGUAGCAUAAAAGCUAAAUAAAUUCAUACAUACUAUAAUAUAGAUAACCAAAGUAUACAAUUUAAUUUAAAGUGACACAUGGGCCCACAAACGACCAAAAGUAUCAAAAGCGAUAAGCCUACAGUUUUUGAGGAUGCAAGUCCAAUUGUAGCCCUCAACGAAAUGAACUAUUUAUCGACUAUCCUCAGCCUGAAAGGGGUGGAAAGGAGGGUGGUGAGAGUAUAUAAUCCCGUGAGUAAACAAAUACCAUCUAAAAUAUCUAAAGCUGAGUAAAUGGAGACAAAUAAAAUAGUUUAACAUACAGUAAUUCAUCGCCUUUCAACUUGUUUCAACCAAAUAAAAUCAAUUCAUAUAAACCAAGUAAUCAACAUGGCUUAUGAAUUUCUUAAAACUUUGGGUCGUGCCAAAAUCAUUUUCAUACCCAAUUAUCAGGGAUACCUUGAUCAAGGGCUAUCCCAAUCGAGUCCGCUAAGGUUGUUAAAAAUUUCAUAUACACAUAAACAUUUUUUUUUUUUUUUGAAAACAUAGAUGUUCCUUGGCGUUGGCUAAGUUCACCCUCACGUGGUGGCUUGGCAUGAAGUGAACUCUAAAGUUAUACCUCGGGAGUUACCCUACUCGCCUCUCCAACCGAGGUAAAAUAUAACGGGAUUCCAUGCCCCUCUAAUAGGCUGAUCCACAAAAAACUCACCCAUUGCAGCAAGUUAAACCCACCAUACAAUAAAUUUUGCAAUAGCAUGACAUGGCAAUUAUUUUAUUUUAUUUUAUAGCCUUUCAAGGCAAAUCAACAAUUUAUACAUUUCCAACACAUUUAUCAAAUCAACCAUUCAUGCCAAUAUUGCCAUAAGCCAAUCAAUUAGAGUCAUGAAUUUACAACACACAAAAACAAUCUCCAAUUACUCUAUUUUCAAACCAUCAUUCAAUUUUAAAACAAUUUUAUGAAAUCAUUUCAUUAAAUCACAUUUUGUUUAUAAAACCAAAAAAUUAAUCAUUUAAUUCAUUUUCCAAAAAAUUCACAAAAAUCGAAUAAAACAUACUUUAGAUAAUUAAGAUGAUGAUAAGGUUAGUCACUGUAAUGGGAAUCGAAUUCGGAGUACUCCGAUUCUUGAUCCUCGAGUACUAUCUCUUUACUUUUGCCAAAAUGCUCACCACCUAGACAAUACAUGACACAUAAUUCAAUAAACUGUGUCACACCAUUAUAAAUCUAUUUCAUGCUCUUUACUAAUGCAUUAAAUGGGAUGCAAAUUAUUCGGAUUAUCGUUUAAAUACGGUGUUCUACACCAAUUCAAUUGUGUACCUAAAUAAAAUGGUAUUGGCCUAAUUCGAUAUAUCACUCAAUUAAUUAGCCAAUAUGUCCAAUUUAACUCCAAAUAAUUCCAUUUUUCUCCCAAUACUCCAAAUCAUCAAACACAAAUUAAAUAACAUGAAAUAGGGCAAAAUCAUCCUCACAUUUUCUCUUGGAAAAUUCGGCCAUGGUGGGUGCAUCAACAUUAUAAUUUUUCCUACUUGAUUCUCACACCUUAAAUCACUAAUUCCUAACCAAAUCACUUGAAAUAAAAUCAAAAUCAUCAUCAAUAUUCCACAUGGAGAAUUCGGCCAUUGAUGGGUGAUGGAAGAACAUGAAUUUUUCUUGCUUGAUUUUCACACUACACAUCACCAAUCAACUAAAAACACUAAAAUACAUUGAAAUCUAACCAAAUCAAGCAUCAAAACCUCUCUCUAAGUGUUCAGCCAGCAAGAUACCCAUCAUGAAAUCAUGUGAUUCAACCAUAGAAAAUGCAAAAGAAUGUAUGGGAAAGGUAGAUCACAAGUCAAAAUCAAGAAAUUUUACCUUUGAUUGCUUGAUUACUUGAAAUCCAUCAAUUUUCUCUUGAAUUUUCACCCUAGGGUUCUUGUUCUUUCUUUUCUUCCUUUGUUCUUGCUU
rnacentral:lncRNA from 1 species